CCUACGGGUGGCAGCAGUGGGGAAUAUUGCGCAAUGGGCGAAAGCCUGAAGCAGCGAAGCCGCGUGAGGGAUGAAGGUCUUCGGAUCGUAAACCUCUGUCAGCAGGGAAGAACGGUCACUGUGCUAAUCAGCAGUGAAUUGACGGUACCUGCAAAGGAAGCACCGGCUAACUCCGUGCCAGCAGCCGCGGGAAUACGGAGGGUGCGAGCGUUAAUCGGAAUUACUGGGCGUAAAGCGCGCGUAGGCGGUAUGUCAAGUCAAGGGUGAAAUCCCCGGGCUCAACCUGGGAACUGCCUUUGAAACUGGCAAACUGGAGUGUGUGUGAGGAUAGUGGAAUUCCAGGUGUAGGAGUGAAAUCCGUAGAUAUCUGGAGGAACCUCAGUGGCGAAGGCGACUAUCUGGCACAUAACUGACGCUGAGGAGCGAAAGCGUGGGUAGCAAACAGGAUUAGAUACCCGUGUAGUC
rnacentral:rRNA from 1 species